CCUUGCAACCCAGCCACUGGGAAGUGCCUCUGCCCACCUGGAAAGACUGGGGACAAAUGUGACAUUGGCUGCCGGUCAGACCAGUAUGGCCCCGACUGCUCUCUGCGAUGCCAGUGUGCCAGCAAGUCCCAGUGCAACCCAUACAAUGGGAAAUGUGUCUGUCCAGCCACGUGGAUGGGGCCAACUUGCAAGGAAGGUGGCCCUCCAAAGCUUCCUUUUUAUGAAGAACAAACUCAAGAAGGAGGGAAUAUUUUUCCAAGAGCUCUACAACAGUAACAUUUGGACUAAUAAAUGAACUCUUUUGUAUGCACAGACGGUAUUUGAAUUUGGAUAUGAAAACAGGUAUUCAAUUCAGCUUGAAUUGUACUGAAGUAUUCACACUUCUUAUGGAAGACUACAGAGGCCAUUUAGUAGCUGGUUCCUUUUAAAAAGUUGAAUCUGUUUCAUGUAUUUAUUCCUAGCCUGUUGCCUUUCCAUUAGUCUACUUGGGACAUUCUUUCUGAUAUGUAGUAUAAUUCAUUGCUUGAAGCUUGGACAUGUGGGUUUUUUGUUUUCUUUUUGCUUUUUGUAAAACAAAAGCUCCGAAGAGGAUCAGUAACAUGCCAAUUUAAAGUGAGCCACGCCAUGCUAAAUGAGCAUUCAACAGAUUAUGAAGCCAAUGCAGGUUCACUGCAAAUUCACGUUGCUCAGAAACCAGUGGGAUUCACCAAAUUAGUUCCCCUGUGAAAAACAUUACAUGUUCUAGAAAAACAUCCAGUCUUAAAAUUACAGCUGAUGAAGAAUCCGCCACAAUCUUUGAUAAGUUGUUCAUUCAUUUGAGAAUACAUAUCACAUUUCCAGUGUGAAUUGGCUGACUGGAAGGUCUCCAUCCAUAUCUUGUUUGCAUCUGAGGCUCUUUUCUAAAGAGCACAAUGUUAACUGUCAGGCUCCUCUGGUUUUCUGUGUUCUCCCAUCUCAUCAGUGGAGUUUCUCAGCAGUUUGUGAAGUCAAACUGUACAGCAGUUCUUGUAAAACUUUCUUACAAUGGAGGAAGCUUUAUCUUGGAUGGAGAAAGCAGAUAGUGAGGAUAGAUAUGGAACAAUAAUCUGUGUUCUCUUUAUGUAAAGGAUUAUAACGUGCUCUUACCACACAAUAAUUUAAUUAUCGGCUUUAACAAGUCCUGAUACCAUUCAACAGCUGCUGUUGGUCACCUAGAACAACGGCGUUUUGGUGCUAUUUUUAUCUGUCUAGACAGGCUGUUCUUUAAUAUAGGACCAAGUCAUUAUUAAGAAAUAAUAUUCUUUAUUUUAGUAUUCUGAGUUAACAAGGUUAAAACAUUUCAGAGUAACUCUUUGUACCUCUCUUUAGGUUAAGAGUUACAAAAUGUGCUCAGUAACCUCUUGAGUCUUACUAAAUCAGGAGUGCCCUUGGUUUAAGGCACCAGGACCAUGGGCUCUGGUGACCAGAUAGCACAAGCUCUUCCAGGUUUUGUGUUCAUGCUAGCAUUACCAUUCACACACCACAGCGAAUCACAACUCUGCAAGGGAUUUUUGUCAUAGAAGAGAGAAAGUGACAAUAAUUAAAGCUCACUUGUGAUUUUUAAUAAUGUUUAUGUUUGCAAUUGGAUAAUGAGUAUGUGAAGCAACAGUUACCUCUUGGUUCUCCUCAAGCCCUAAACCAAUAUGUCUGGUUCGAAGCAAGUAAUGCUUGCUCACCUGGAACUGCAAUUCAAGCUGUGAUCUUUUGGAAGCAAUAAAGGUUUACUAGGUGUUUUUUCA
rnacentral:lncRNA from 1 species